UUACGGCCAUAUCACUUCGAAACGUCGGUUCCCGAACAAUCAUCGAAGUUAAGCAACGUCGAGACUGGUCAGUACCUAGAUGGGUGACCGCUUGGGAAUACCAGGUUCUGUA